CCUACGGGCGGCAGCAGUGGGGAAUAUUGGACAAUGGGCGAAAGCCUGAUCCAGCCAUGCCGCGUGUGUGAAGAAGGCCUUCGGGUUGUAAAGCACUUUCAGUGGGGAAGAAAGCCUUGGGGCUAAUACCCUCGAGGAAGGACAUCACCCACAGAAGAAGCACCGGCUAACUCCGUGCCAGCAGCCGCGUAAUACGGAGGGUGCGAGCGUUAAUCGGAAUUACUGGGCGUAAAGCGCGCGUAGGCGGUCUGAUAAGCCGGUUGUGAAAGCCCCGGGCUCAACCUGGGAACGGCAUCCGGAACUGUCAGGCUAGAGUGCAGGAGAGGAAGGUAGAAUUCCCGGUGUAGCGGUGAAAUGCGUAGAGAUCGGGAGGAAUACCAGUGGCGAAGGCGGCCUUCUGGACUGACACUGACGCUGAGGUGCGAAAGCGUGGGUAGCAAACAGGAUUAGAUCCCCGUGUAGUC
rnacentral:rRNA from 1 species